ensembl:snRNA U1 U1 spliceosomal RNA
ACUCAUACCUGGAAGGGGAGAUACCAUGAUCAUGAAGGUGGUUUCCCCAGGGUGAGGCUCAUCCAUUGCACUUCGGGUGUGCUGUUCCCUGUGAUUUCCCCAAAUGUGGGGAAAUUAAUUGUCUAAUUUGUGGUAGUGGGGGACUGUGUUUGUGGUUUCCCCUG